UGCCGCGUGAGUGAUGAAGGCCUUCGGGUUGUAAAGCUCUUUGGCGGGACGGUGAUGACGGUACCCGCAGAAUAAGCCCCGGCUAACUUCGUGC
rnacentral:rRNA from 1 species